rnacentral:rRNA from 1 species
CCCUUAGAUGUUCUGGGCUGCACGCGCGCUACACUGACACACUCAGCGAGUUCCUGUACCGAGAGGUUCGGGUAAUCAUGUGAGCGCGUGUCGUGAUGGGGAUAGAAUAUUGUAAUUAUUGCUCUUCAACGAGGAAUUCCUAGUAAGCGCAAGUCAGCAGCUUGCGCUGAUUACGUCCCUGCCCUUUGUACACACCGCCCGUCGCUCCUACCGAUUGGGUGAUCCGGUGAAUGACUCGGACUUUGACGUUCCUAGACACUAGGUUCGUCGAGGGAAGUUUUGUGAACCUUAUCACUUGGAGGAAGGAGAAGUCGUAACA